rnacentral:lncRNA from 1 species
UCAUCAUAUAUCUGGCUUGAGACUCUCUGUUGAUAAUGCCUUUAAACAUGGCAUGAUUGGUGAAGAUGUAGCCAGGCAGCUCAGAAAAGUUGAGAACUUUAACCACCAUCAAUUUUUUCAUCCUCAAACAAAGGAAGCUCUUUCCUUCUCAGAAGCCAUAAAAUUAGAUCUUGUUUCUCCAGACUUGAAAAGAGAAAUCCAAGAGAUUCUGGACUUUAGUGAAAACUUGGGGGAUCUCAUUUAUGGCCAGAAAUUGACCUCGGUAAAAGCUAACAAAGAAGAAUCCUUAGCUAAUAAAACAGCAUUGCCUUCGAGAGUGAUACAUGGGGUUAUAGAUCCUGAGAGCUGCACAACAAUUCCCUACUCAGAAUUGGUAAAGAAAUGUAGGAUUGACAUUGAAUCUGGAUGGAGAUAUCUCGAAGUAAUUCCACUCUCUGAUAUUAAAGAUGAGAUGAGCAACAAAGUGCUAACACCAUCUGAAGCAAUUCAGCGUGGAAAA